GAUGGCAGCCCACCAGGCUCCUCUGUCCCUAGGAUUCUUCAGGCAAGAAUACUUGUGGGUUGCCAUUUCCUUUUCCAAAAUCAUUACUCCAAGACAGCCCUUUUAUUUUCUCUCCUUCCAAUGAAGUCCACCUUGAUUUGGGCAAAAGUCAGCCUCCCUGUAACUUUCACCGCACCUGAGAAUAGCCUAUCAGUGAGUCUUCUGGCCUGGGGGACCUUCUGCUGUGUCCCCUGGGACUUCUCUCUGCAGAGUAUCAUCAGCUUCCUCGUCUGUUCCUUCUCUGACCUAUGUUUUAAACUUCUUCACCCUCUGGUCCCUCCCAUUUAAAUGCUGUGCAGCUUGUUGAUGGCCCAGUCCAGUGUCACACCCAGGACAAGACUUAACAGCCCAGCCCAAGUAGCAGAGAUCAUAGCUACCCUGCCCUAAGGUCUUUGCCUCCCUCCAGGCAGGCCCUGCGACAGUCUGACUUCAUGGAAGGGUGAAUGAAGUGGCCUUUGCUGAGCUGCUGGUGGGAUUAGGGACAGCCCUCCCAGACCUCUUAUCUUCUUGCAGGAGAAAUCCCAUGUCACAUUCAGCCCAUUUGAACGCUUCCAGGCUUAUAGCUGCCAUCUUCCACACUCCAGCUUGUUUGCCCCAGAUGCCAAUAUUAUGUUGCUGUUAGUUUUUUUUUUUUCCCCAUGAAAACUUAAUUGGAAUUUUAAUGUACUUUUGGAGGGGUGGGCUGCAUUUCCAUUUGCCUCUAAAAACAAUGAGAAGGAAAACAAAGUGGAAUCUUACAGCCAGAAAUUAUGGAGCCAAAUCUGAAAUUAAUUUACAAAGUCAUUAGUAUUUUCCAUUUGUGAACCCCAUACCAAAUGUAAGUGCAGUUCCUUGUGAUUAAGUACAAAUUAGAAAAUUAGAAGAGAGUUAGAAGGACUUUCAGGGACAAACAUACAAAACUAGCAGAAGCAGAUGGGUGUGUGUGUUUUGGGGCGGGGUGGGGGGGUGGGGAGUGGUGUUGGGAGGGAUGGGUGUGACAACCAGGACUUGCUCUGGUUUUCACUCAAGUCUGAAUUUGGGAGAGCAAAACAUAUUCCCCAGAAGAGAGCCGUUUCCAACAACUUUAAAACUGGCAGGGAUCAUUGGGAUGAUCUGUUCUAACCUUCUAUUUUCUGAAUGAGGCAACUGAGAGACUCAGGGAUGGUGAGAGACUUGCUUGAGGUCACACAGCCGGGAACGCCAGCGCUGAGACUAGAGCCUGGACACCAGUGCUCUGGCCGCCGCUGCCUCCGCCUCCUGGGAGCGUGUGCUUCAGCCUCCUGUGCACCUGAUCUGGGCUCUCAUCUAACGCGGCACCUUGUUAGAGUAGAGGGAAGGGAACCCUCCAUCCAGGGCCACCCUGUUCGUGCACUUGGGUCAGAUUGCUGCUGCAUACUGCAUGCCAUGCUGCUUCAAGGGGGAACACAGUGGUUUCUCCCUCCCUUGAAGGAGCCUGGUUAUUCCCCCGAGCUCACCCCAGGCCAAGUCCCAGCCCUACACGUUAGAAUCUGCUGCUCUGGGAGUGAAGUCAGCCUGUGGUUUAAUUAGCAGGGAAUGUGUGUCAGGGUUUCGAAGUUUGUAGCAGGACCUCUUCCUGCGCCUCCCUAAGCUUGGAUGAACUGGGGCUUUUUUUUCGGCUGUGCCUGUUCUUAGUUAUGGCACAUGGGAUCUUCUGCCUUCAUUGUGACACGUGGGACCUUUUUACUUCUUUAGUUGCAGCAUUCAAACUCUUUAUUUGUAGCAUGUAGGAUCUUGUUUCCCAACCAGGGGUCGAACCCGGGCCCCCUGCAUCUGGAGCAUGGAGUCUUGGCUGCUGGAGCACCAGGGAAGUCCCUGAACUGGGGCUUUGAGAUGUCCCUGAGUCACCAGAGACUUUGUGAAUGCUGUCCCCCUGACCUGUUUGAAGUGAAGCCCUGUGAUGUCACCUCCCCUGGUCCCACUCCCUCACAUGUGUGUGUUCCUUACACAUGCAGACCCCGAAUCGACAGAGCAGCUCUAAGAAAAGCCACUUGUGAGAGUUCCCUGUCUCUUUGUUGUUUCCCUUACUAACUGGAUGUCUUAAAGGGUGGAAGGGACCCUUCCUUCAAGGUGCCCAGCUCUUUCCUGGGCGGGCGCUCAACCCCGCCCCAGCCUCUCGGGCUUCCUCUCCUCCCCUGACACCUGUAGGGUACUGUGGGGGUUGUGAGAACACAAAAGGCACGACUCCUGCUCUCAAAGAAUCUCAAAUCUAGGUGCCAAGAGAAACUGUAUUUACCUGGAGUUGUUAAGGACCAUUGUGUUGAUGAUAAAUAUUUGCCCGUGACCUUGCCAGGUCCCGUUCUAAGAGCCGUAGGUGUGUUCUUGCACCCAGCCAUCAGAGUGAUCAUGUGAGAUGGAGCCAUGAUUCUUUAUUUUACAGAGGAGGACCCUGAGGUUUAAAGAGUUGAUGGUAGAUGAGCCUUCCGAGCCAUCUGCCCUUUAGAACCUCCCAGUGUCGCCCUGGGGAAGAUGUGUCCCCAGAAGGUGGCGCUGUCCUAGGAGCGUGAGUGUGGGGAGAUGCCAGGGAUGGAGCUGGCACCGUUGUGGAGCUGCAGAGACAAGACAGCAGGGAAGGGCUGUGUUUGGGAAAGGUUCCUUGUCCCAUGGCUUGGUGAUCUGGGCUCUGACCCUGUGAGGGUGACACGUAGGUUGGUAGGGGAGAGAGGGGGACUCCACAGAGAAUAACCCCAACUUAGGGUAAGAAAGAUGGGGCCCUGUGAAUAUCUCUUACCCCUGAGCCCAGCCUGCCUUUCUCCACUCUCCUUGCUGAAUGCCUGACCUUGGACCAGUGAUUGGCCCCUCAGAAGUUCAGUUUCCUCCUCUUGAAAGGAAGGGGUCAUAAUAGCUUUCUUUGUUGUUAAACCUUAGAUGAGCUGAUACCCCAGACUUCUUGCAAAGUACCAGACACCAAGUAGACCAUCUCUCAAUAAUAGUUUUCAUUUUCCCUUACACCCAUUUGUUUAAAAAAGAAAACAAAAAUUUUUUUCUCCUAUGAUAACAAAAAUUUUAGAAGGCAGAGACAAGUUAAUAUGUUGUGUAUAUACUCUCAGGCCAAGAAUUUGCUAAGUAUUUACAUACCAGAGGACUUUGAUUUUUUCAGCUGGCUCUGUGCUGAUCCAGACAUCUUCUCCAAGUGACCAGAGGUGAUUCCUUGCCGUGGUCUAUUGUUGUUGGGGUUUUGUGAGUGUGUUUUCAUGAUACAAAAAUUGGAAACAUACAAGCUACAGAUAUACUAUAUCUUGCUUAUGAACCUUCCACUGGAUAUAACGAGUGUUGAUAUUUUUCCAUGUUUACUUCAGAUACCUGUAAUGUCUUAUUUCUUUAUUAAAAAACAAAAACAAAACCCUAAAGCUACUCUGCUAAAGGCUUCCUGUUAGCCCACCCCGCUCCUAUUCUCCCUUCUCCUUCUCACAGGUGUUUACUCUGGUGAAUUUGGUGUGUGUCCUUCCCAGCCAGGACUUUGUAGUGUUUUGUUUGUAAAGCCGAGUAACUCGGUUGGAAUGUGUUUGAACCACCAAAAGAUCAGCAUUUGGAAGAAGAAGACUGAAUACCUAAGGCGAGGGAAACAGCUUCACAGAGAGAGCAAGUCUGCCCGCCCCCGAAUCGUUAUUUAUAUUAAAUUCCAAAAUUACAAAUCCUUUGCCUUGGAUUUAAAACUUGACCCUGCCUCCAUGCUUAAUUGCAAAUAAAUUCGAACUUGUGCCAUCUGGAGCUCCCAGGGUCAUCUGGACCUUUCAUGUGAGUAAAUACAUUCUGGAGUCUAUUAUUAGAGUAGGUUUUUUUGACUUUUUUCUUUAAUGCUUCCUCUCACCAACCACCCCCCCCCCCCAUCACAACUGUAAUGUAUACUUAUUGUAGAGAAUUCAGAACAUACAGAGAAGGAAAGAUGAAAAUUGCCCAUUGCUCUGCUCAUUUGACCACCCCCCACCCAUAGAAUUGUGUCCUUCUCUGUCUUUUACCCACCCCUACAAGGGUAGAAAAUUGGAAGUCACUGGGUCCCCCAAGUAGGGCCAGCACCAUGGACUCAGGGUUUCCUAGUGAGUAAUGGUCCAUCCUCCACUUACAAUAGGGUCUGUGUCCCAAGGUGAGAGAAGCAGUCACCUGCCCUAGGUCAGGUCAGUGACCUGAUUGGGAAUGGAGAGCCAUCUCCUGGUGGCUGAAGAUGUCUUUCUAUCAUAUCUGCUCUUUAUGCUGAAGUCUGAUCCUUCACGGAUCCUGGCCCUGAUCCAGGCACGAUGACAAAGCAUCCAGCAAAGGGGAGAGGUCCCUCUUUCUCUUCAGGGAAAUGGGGAGGUAGCCACAGACAAUGGCUGGACCUUUGACCACCUUUCCUGAAAACGUCUUGGACGUUUUUCAUUUUAGCACUUUAAACUGGACGCCAAGCACAACAUCUGUGGGCUGCUGCCUGUUUUCAACCUCCGGCCCAGACCAAUUAAUUGGUGGCUUUCUUCUGUGUCUCUGGAUUCCGGCAGCGGGAAGUUUCUCAGGAAGUUGCCCAAAUUGACCACGAAUGAAGUGGUGAAGGGGAGAGAGGCACUUGCCUUGACUUCAAUGGAGCAUUCAUUUGCACAAUAAAUAUUUAUUGA